rfam:Gossypium hirsutum cultivar TM-1 chromosome 20, whole genome shotgun sequence
UAUUAAAAAUUUCAUCCAUUUAUCCUGUUAAAGCCCAGUGUAACUACAAAAUAAUCGAACAAUGACACUUGACAUGUCAGUGUACCUCAUGUUUAUGUACAAAGACUAGUUUCUAAUAACAAAAAUGGAUGUAAUUUUUAAGA